CUCUCUUCUCAUUUUCUAUCACGGAGGACCAUGGAGCCCAAAAGGCCUCCGCCCCCUCCAAUGGCCACUGUCGACAUCUCCGUCGGCCUCCUUUUCCUUCCCUCCCCCCUCUCUUUCUCUCUCUUUUCCUCUCCGGUUCAUCCCUUGCUUUAGUGUUAGUUCGGACCUAGUACAGUCCGGUAUGGGGUGCAAAUAAAUAUGUUUGUAGACCCACCUUGUUUAAAUGAUAUCUUAGGGGAAAACAGUAAAAAAUGAUCAAAAUUAAUACAGUCCUGCUCAAAACAACAAUGAUAUUAUACCA
rnacentral:lncRNA from 1 species